CGAAUACUCCGCGUGUUUGACAAAGGCUCCAAAAGAAGCCACGCAUAACUCCGUGCCAGCAGCCGCGGUAAUACGGAUGUGGCGAGCGUUAUUCGGAAUCACUGGGCUUAAAGCGCACGUAGGCGGUUUUGCAAGCAGGCUGUGAAGUCCCUCGGCUCAACCGAAGAACUGCACCCUGAACUGCAUGACUUGAGGAUGGAAGAGGAGAGUGGAAC
rnacentral:rRNA from 1 species